rnacentral:rRNA from 1 species
GACGAACGCUGGCGGCGUGCUUAACACAUGCAAGUCGAACGGAAAGGCCCGGCUUUUGUGGGUUUCUCGAGUGGCGAGCGCGGGAGUAACACGUGAGUAACCUGCCCUUGACUUUGGGAUAACUUCAGGAAACUGGGGCGAAUACCGGAUAGGAGCUCCUGCUGCAUGGGGGUGGUUGGAAAGUUUCGGCGGUUGGGGAUGGACUCGCGGCUUAUCAGCUUGUUGGUGGGGUUGUGGCUUACCAAGGGUUUGACGGGUAGCCUGCCUGAGAGCGUUAACGGCCACCAUGGGACUGCGAGACGGACCAGAAGCCAACGGGCGGCAGCAGGGGGGAAUCUUGCACAACGGGGCGACGCCUGAUGCAGCAACGCCGGGUGCGGGAUGCCGGGCUUCGGGUUGUAAACAGCUUUCGACUGUGACGAAGAGUGAGUGACGGUAAUGGGUAAAGAAGCAACGGCUAACUACGUG